UUCCGGUUGAUCCUGCCGGACCUGACUGCUAUCGGAUUGAUACUAAGCCAUGCGAGUCUUUGCAGUAAUGCAAGGCAGACGGCUCAGUAACACGUAGUCAACUUACCCUAUGGACGAGGAUAAUCUCGGGAAACUGAGCAUAAUACUCGAUAGAUCAUAAUGCCUGGAAUGGUUUAUGGUUGAAAUGAUUCGUCGCCAUAGGAUGGGACUGCGGCCUAUCAGCUUGUUGGUGAGGUAAUGGCCCACCAAGGCGAUUACAGGUACGGGCUCUGAGAGGAGAAGCCCGGAGAUGGGUACUGAGACAAGGACCCAGGCCCUAUGGGGCGCAGCAGGCGAGAAAACUUUGCAAUGUGCGAAAGCACGACAAGGUUAAUCCGAGUGAUUUCUGCUAAAGAAAUCUUUUGCAAGUCAUAAAACCACUAGUGAAUAAGGGGUGGGCAAGUUCUGGUGUCAGCCGCCGCGGUAAAACCAGCACCUCAAGUGGUCAGGAGGAUUAUUGGGCCUAAAGCAUCCGUAGCCGGCUCUGUAAGUUUUCGGUUAAAUCCAUGUGCUCAACAUAUGGGCUGCCGAAAAUACUGCAUAGCUAGGGAGUGGGAGAGGUAGACGGUACUCGGUAGGAAGGGGUAAAAUCCUUUGAUCUAUCGAUGACCACCUGUGGCGAAGGCGGUCUACCAGAACACGUUCGACGGUGAGGGAUGAAAGCUGGGGGAGCAAACCGGAUUAGAUACCCGGGUAGUCCCAGCUGUAAACGAUGCAGACUCGAUGAUGCAUUGGCAUAUAGCCAGUGCAGUGUCGCAGGGAAGCCGUUAAGUCUGCCGCCUGGGAAGUACGUACGCAAGUAUGAAACUUAAAGGAAUUGGCGGGGGAGCACCACAAGGGGUGAAGCCUGCGGUUCAAUUGGAGUCAACGCCGG
rnacentral:rRNA from 1 species